rnacentral:rRNA from 1 species
GCGGCGGGCGGCGGGGAAGGGGCCAGCGGCACGGGGCAGCCGUGUCCGCGCGGAGCGCUCGGGCAGGGGACGGGGCACGGGACCUCCGGGUUUGGGAUCGGCCGCGCCGCCCGCCCGCACCGUAGUCCCGGCUACCUGCUGUGGGACCGGUUGUAUGCCUUCUUCGACUUCGCCGACUUCUUCCCGUUCCUGCUCCUACUGCGGCAGCUGCGGGGACGCCUAGGGCUGCCGCCGCUCCGGCAGCGGCAGCGGCGGCCCGGCCUUCUAGACGGCCCGCCGCCGCUACAGCUCCUGUACCCGCUCCCGCAGCGGCUGCUCCCGCCGCUGGACCUCCGGCAGCGCUUACACCAAGGACCCCUCCUGCCGAACUUUCGGGGGCCACCACUAGAUCCCAACCCCCUACCGAACUUUCCAGGGCCGCCACUAAAUCCCAACCCCCUGAGGGACAGCCACGAGAAGUCCUUCGGACCGGCGUUCUGAGCCGUCGUCCGGAGCUUCCUACUCCUCCGUCUCCCGCACCUCCGACGGCUAAGCGUCCGUCUCCUCCGAGAGUUACCGCCUAGACCACCGGACCGAAGCCUACUCUGACGGUUCCCGUGGUUCUUCUCCGCCUCCGCCGCGUGGUUCCGCCUCUACCUCCUCUACUCCCGGCGGGAGCGGCGACUCUUAAUGCUGUUGCGUUACCGUCCGCUACCCAGAGGGUCCUCCUCCAGUUCCCGCUUCGGUUUCCGACGAAUAAGACUAUCCGCAAGAUCCCGACGGCGGGCAGCUCGGCAACUUCUUCACGGGCAACCUCUUAACCGCCGGGGACUCGGAGGGGGACUAAACCUUUCCUUCGGGCUACUCUUUCUUCUCCGACACCUAUUUCUUCUCCGACGUCUACUACCAAAUAGUGACCCUCUCUGCGAAGACGUUCUGCACCUUUGGUCGUCUCAACACCUCCCACCUAGAUCUUUGAGAAGACUACCCCGUUCAGUAACACAGCUUCAAGGUCGUUCCCGACUAUUGACGUAACGGAAUUUAGGAACAAGUCCUCCUCUUGGACGACUUUUUCGUAGAGUGUCACGUCGUUUACGUAGGCGACUACCACAAAGACUACGUGUCUGUACGAGGUUUUGGAACCGUCUCCUAUAUUUACGGCUACGUCCAAAAAGAGUUCUAUUCGGUGGACGUGGUUGGUAGUUUUCCUUUGGACCAGCUUUUGGUUUUCUUCGGGGGUUCUUUGGACAAUCUUCCUUCCUCAACGGAAGCCAAUCACGACUACGAUUUGGUCAACUCUAUCGUCUUUCACUACGCAGCAGCUUCGUCGCCGCCGCGUUUUUAUUUAAAGAGAACCGUUCCAGAUGGCGACACGUCAGAUUAAGGAGCGACCUGUUAUUUCGUCCAUCAUGUCCGCUGCAAUUUAUACCGUUAUAGUUUGGUUUACGUCGACACGGUUGUCUUCUUUCGAAUCUAGUCGGUCGACGAAUACCCCAAGUACCCAGGGCACGGCGGUUCCUAAGUGCACGGAGAGUAUUGUACCGUCGUAGACGUUUUCUUUAGUUAUAGUAACUGCACCGUCGCGGUAGGUUAAAACUCCUGUACCUCUUACGUAGUUUCCCCGACAAGAGUUUGGGGAGUCGUCCAAAACGUCUAGUUAGACAGUUUGGUUUUCUAUUUUAAUUUCGCGACCUUCAAGAACUCUUAGUUCCACAACGACGACAUUCACGACCGGAUUACCGCCUCCGACAAAGAGGUUACCUUUUCUAUUUUAAGUUCCUACAGGACUUCGCCUUCCCACCGGAAUUCCUGAUGGACCUCACGUCCUUGUACUAGGAUUCAACGACCUUGUUCCUACAAUUUGUAGAUAACCUAGAACGGCUAACACCAGAAAGAUUACGAGGGUACCUUCUACUAAGUGGUGCAGUUUGUGAAUAUGCACUGCACAUGACAAAGAAUCUAGUCUUACCAAUGUAUUUACGACCUUAGCGUAGUCGGUUCCGCUGUUUCCCAGUACCUUAAGGAACAAGGCUCCAACACCUUCAUCGGUUCAAUUUACUUAAUGGAUUUUACCUCGUUCAGUCCCAACUUCCACUGCAACAACGACAUAGAGAGGUCUUAUUUCUACUACUAAUACCACGAAACCCUGGAAACUGUCUUCUUAGCUUCCUUUUAUUACAGGGACUGCGAGUAACGCUACGGGUUCUCAACUAUGGAGUGAAUGUCAGGUUUCUUGUCCGUAGACUUCUUUUCUUAGAUCUACAUAGUUGACUUCCACCUCUACGUAAAGAUGGUGGCUAGUUAUAAUGAAGUCAACCUUUGUGACUUCCGGGGUCAGAGCUAUUUGGUCUUCGUCGACAAUAGCUUGUAGGACCUUUGUUGACACUCCAUUUAGUAUUUCAACUUAGACCUCCCGCGACGUUUUUCUAUUAGUAACACCCUCGACCAGGCCGGCCAAAUUGACGUCGUGCGGUAAACGUCGCAGUUCCAAAACGACAGUGACAAGAACUUCGUGCACUAUCCUAACCACCAGCACAAAUAUGUCUGGCAUGUAGCGAAAGUCAAGGACACCUAAACCCACGAUCGUAAUAAUGUCCACACCUCCGACUAUAUCGUUGACUUGCUUCCCGACUAGGUAGGAGAAACUAAACAAGAGUCGAACCAGAACUUGACUGACAUGACUUUUCACGAACGGGAGAGAUACUACAUCAUUGACCGUUGUUCCAAGGGCUACUUAACCUACUACUCAACCUUAGACUUAUGUUGCCGGAAGAACUACUUUACCUUGUUGAAAAACUUGUUUUACCACUUUCACGUGACCCAAAUAGGGAACUCCUACCCAACCUUAUAUGAGAAUCCUUCUUUGCACGUAGGGUACAACAAAGAAGACACCCUGUACUACCAGUCAAUUAUUCAUACAGGUUAUCUCCUCCACAUCUGUAAAGGUUUUCACGAAGUUGUCUUUUCCUCUAUCGAGUAACACCCCUCCUACCACUCUAUCUACAAGAGUCGGGAGAACUUUCUUCUCAAUACUUGACCGUGAAACGUGUAAAUCUCAUGCCAACACGACGUUACGAGUUUAGACAGAGAGAAGGCAUGACCUUGGUUCUACUACACAUACCUCCCAAGCCUCCUGGAGUAACGUACUAAUUUCCACCAAUACCGCGACAAGAACUCUCGGAACGUCUUCCUGAACUACAAGUCAAUUUAGUACAACAUUGACUUCAUUACAUGUCCGGACUCCUCAGUCUACGAUCACCGUAGUUACCCUUUUGACAAUUUCAAAGGUGAAGCUUACCUCGACUUAAACACCCUCUACGACACAACUAGUGACAAGGAGAACCCACGAACUUUCGUGUACGUUAGUUUAAAAGAGGAAGGAACGGCCUGACCUUUUGUAGAAGGUAACUGUCCGAACCUAAACCACAAGAUUUAUUUUAUCAUAACCUCAAAGGACUCCAGAAAACCCUACUUUUACACCUAAUAAAACCACGUUGACGCCUUGUUUGUCUAAAUUCCCCUGUUACGAAAUACAAAACCUUAGAGUUUUUCUGUCAGCCGCGUGGUCAAUAUUAUCGAGAUGAACAACCCUUCCGACGAUAUCUACCUGUCUCAUAGUCAAGACUACGAGUACAAUCGGUACGAUACCACCAAGAGGCAUUCGAGAAAUGCCUACGACGACAUGGUCUAGGUCACCGUAGUCAACAGUGUUUAACCCCGGAACUAGGAAAAUCAUCUCCACGAAUGAGAAUACAACGUCAUCCUCGUAGUCCAGUUCUAAUACUGUAGUAUCCUGCCGGUCAACGUUUGACAAAUAAAAAACGACCCCUUCGUUGUACGUUUCUCGUAGGUCUAUGACAACCACCACGUUAAAAUUCACCAGAAGCUCUUCGUCAAGCCUAAUAACUGAACCAUGUGUCACCAUUCCUAAUACACCGACUCCACCUUCGAGAUGUUUGUAUGGUCCACGUCAGUCUAUCACUUUCUUUACUUCAGUCUCUGUACAGUUUAUCUGAACUUCGUGCACUUGACAGUUGACGAGAUACGUUUUUGAGUAGACUACGUAGUAUACGUCAUCGAUCGUUCCUUAGACAUGACGUUCUUUACAAAAAGUCACGCUUGUGAUGUGGUCCCGCGGAUGUAAACCGGUUCCUCGAUGACUUUGAGGGAGGUCUACGAGAAUUUAGUAAGCGACCCAGAUUUCUUCCCGAUUGAUUUGACUUGAGAACCUAUGAACUAAGUGACCCUUUUUUACGUUGAGUUGACAACGCCGUAACACAUGCGAACGAAAACGAACAAAGCUGGCUAGACCAUCGACAAGCGAACAGACCUUAACCCUCCUGACAUUUCCUUUUCCAGACACACGUAUGAUCAGCUCUAUAAGCACGGUAUCGAGCGGUCAACCAGUCAUACACCUAUCUUCAAAAGGCAUUUCUUUUCCGAUCGUUGCCACGAGAGUUUUACGACGCGGCUAACGGUAGUCAACUUAGCUCGUUCUGAUCCUCAUUCCUAGAUGUAAGUCCUUACGCGUGAAGCGUACACGGUUUACUUCGUCCACGUGUCGCACAUUCUAGACGACCCUCGGUAAGUGGAGUGUCUUGACCGUUCUUCGGACUGUUCUAACACUUUAAUAGAUCAUAUUACCGAUGUUUUAGACUACCGACGAGUGAAGCAAGGGUCUUCGUUGUGGUACUAGACCUUGGGUUCCGACUAGUUCCGUACCAAUACAGACUCCUUCUUCGACGACAUAAACGACGACGCCUCCGACGAGCUCAACGACGGUAUCGUCGACGUGUCCGUAUACGUAGGCGUCUCCGUCACUAUUCAUUCGGAGCCCUCGAGGGUUUCUAUGGUAGUAAACCUCUAAAACGUUCCGCACUAGUAGUAAACCUGCUUAGACUAUGUUCUUUCUUUUACUGUUCACUGUUCGUACCCUCUGAACUUACGUAUAGCCUCUAACUAAGGUCCUUACCGUUUUGAUUCUUGAGUAGUCGACUCGUGCGGUUAACAGGACUACAACUGUCGAGCUUUUACUGACAACUAUUGACAUGGGUCUCCUCGAUAAGUUUGCUCUUUCGGACGGAUUAAUUAUAAUUCCUGUUAAGACGUCUCUCACCUCGACAUCUGUCAGCAAAAUGAUCCCGUACCCAACUAUGACUACGUCAGAGGUAACUACCACAGUUUGUAGGGUAUCGGUAACUCUCCACCGUUCGUGUUCGUUACCUUCGUCUAUUUCUUAAGAUGUCAGCCUAUGCGUAUGGGUACCUCCUUCCAAGUCCAUCGGUUUUCGUCUGUACGUUUUCAAGACGGAGCGUCCAACGCCUUUCGUUUGGACGUAGUCUUCCUGUUAGGGCUCCACAUCUUGUAUAUUUUGUCCCCGACUAUCGAAAGUAAUCGUGUGAUGACUACGGUGACAUGUUUUCAUUUUUCUAGCUGUCCCUCCGUAUGUUCUGUUACUACGCCUUUCGACAGUGUUUCUAUUAACUACGUACGUGACUCCCUCUCUUCGACUACUGACGGUUACUUAAAGAACUAAAAUCUUCCUUUUGAUUCUAAGUUUGUAAACACCUAUUCAACCAGCUCUCCGUAACCGUACACCGAGGUCGGGGGUUUAGUAUCGUACAUGUAUAGAUCCUUCGACAAUGUACACCUCUUCGUUUAAAGUGGAACGUCUGAUACGACAGCGAGUAGUCCGUAACCGAGGUACCCUGGAUUUUCUUCGUCUGUACCAAAGUGUUCGGAACCCCCGUUUUGGCUUGGUACUUGGUCUAACUGUGUAAGUAGGAACAUAACUUCAACUAUAGUGGAGGUAGUAGUAGUAGUAGCAACGUUACCGAAGGAUCUGGAGACACGUGAGUCUGUUUGUACCGACGCGUACGUCACUUGAACACACUACUCAACUUGAGAUACCGAACAUGGCUUCACCGUAUACUUCUAGACCCUACUUAAGUUCGUAAGGCGUACCAGAGUUGUACGUUCCCACCGAGCUUACAUAGGGACCUGUCAUCAAAAUCCUAUUAUGAAACCUUGGCCGCUGGAGACCAGAGCCACAAUAGCCUGCUUUGGACACGGCGAGGGACCGACAUCGUCCCCACAGCUCAAUUCUCUACCGAAGUGGAACAACCAGAUAGGAAAAUCACAACAAAGCGUCGAAGCUCAAAAGAGACAUAAGAGUGCGGUACCGUCUCAACCAUAGUACGAGUCUAUACAGAAAAAGGCAGGGUAAUAAUACAAAAACGGAUAAAGGUACGAAGUCAAUGAAGGUACAGUAUGGACGGAAAACAUAUAAAUGUGCACAGUGAAUAAAGUUACAGUAUGAACGGAAAAACAUGUACGUUAAUUACGAAAAUUAAUAGAGACCAGAGCCACAGUAACGUACUUUGGACACGACGAACGAGGGACCGGCAUCGACCCCACAGCUCAACUCUAUCUACCGAAAUGGAGCAACCGGAUAGAAAAACACAACAACGUCGAAACUAAAAAGAGACAUAAAAGUGCAGUACCGUCUCACCCAUAGUACAAGUCUAUACAAAAAAGAAAAGAAAAGAAAGAUAACAAUACAAAAACACAUAAAGGUACGAAGUCAAUGACGGUACAGUAUGGACAGAAAAAACAGGUAUAGGUACGCUAUAGAUAAAAAGGUACACGGAAAACACACACACACACACAUAUAUAUAUAUAGAUAGAUUAAUUACGAAAAUUAAUAGAUGGUAAGAAAGGACGUAUUGAACUGAGGAUGAGACCGUUACGGAGACGUCCUGUUAUAUAAAACGACCAAGGUCGCGGUAGUGUAGUUUGAACACGGCGACGAAGGACCGACGGACAUCGUGCCCGUACCUCGUUGUUCUCUACCGAAGUGAAACGACCGGAUAAAAAGACGGGGGAGGCUACCUCUACGGCUUAGUAGUUCCUUAAGUCUGCGACAGAAGACGACACUACUAGGUAUAGGUAUAGGUAUAGUCCUCCUAAGGUCUGUCUCUUUUGGGUCGGGGUUCUGGAACUUACUUAAUGGAACCUACUCGGCGACCUGCGACCCUGCCUCCGCUACCUCGACACGUAUCGCAACAGGUACCGUCCUACUCGGAUGGACCUCGUGUGCGGGACGGAACCACCUUUUCAUUUGCUCCGGAGCCUACCUCAUGUUUCAUACAUAUACAACCACGGAAAGUCAAAAUGAGAGGACAUUUGGCUUGAAAAUACCCUUUUUAAUGGCUCAAGGCACCUAUACAAACUUUUUUAUCCCACGAACAAAUCGACUUCUCUAACGAGACAACACCAUUUUCUUGACGUUCUUGUCUUUUCCUGUACUAAUAAUAUGCAGAUUGGUCAAAACACGACGACAUCGGUGUUUGUGUGUUAUAACAAAAAACUCCCCGUGUUUAUGUGUUCAUACAUAA